rnacentral:rRNA from 1 species
UGAGGAAUAUUGGUCAAUGGAGGCAACUCUGAACCAGCCAUGCCGCGUGAAGGAAGAAUGUCCUACGGAUUGUAAACUUCUUUUAUUUGGGAAGAAACCCCUCUACGUGUAGAGGGCUGACGGUACCAAACGAAUAAGGACCGGCUAACUCCGUGCCAGCAGCCGCGGUAAUACGGAGGGUCCAAGCGUUAUCCGGAAUCAUUGGGUUUAAAGGGUUCGCAGGCGGUGAUUUAAGUCAGUGGUGAAAUCCCAUAGCUCAACUAUGGAACUGCCAUUGAUACUGAGUCACUUGAAUAUAGUUGGAGUAGGCGGAAUGUGUAGUGUAGCGGUGAAAUGCUUAGAUAUUACAC